rnacentral:rRNA from 1 species
UACGUAGGUCCCGAGCGUUGUCCGGAUUUAUUGGGCGUAAAGCGAGCGCAGGUGGUGUAAUAAGUCUGAUGUAAAAGGCAGUGGCUCAACCAUUGUGUGCAUUGGAAACUGUUAGACUUGAGUGCAGUAGAGGAGAGUGGAAUUCCAUGUGUAGCGGUGAAAUGCGUAGAUAUAUGGAGGAACACCGGUGGCGAAAGCGGCUCUCUGGACUGUAACUGACACUGAGGCUCGAAAGCGUGGGUAGCAAACAGG